UGGGGAAUAUUGCACAAUGGGCGCAAGCCUGAUGCAGCCAUGCCGCGUGUGUGAAGAAGGCCUUCGGGUUGUAAAGCACUUUCAGCGGGGAGGAAGGCGCUAAGGUUAAUAACCUUGGCGAUUGACGUUACCCGCAGAAGAAGCACCGGCUAACUCCGUGCCAGCAGCCGCGGUAAUACGGAGGGUGCAAGCGUUAAUCGGAAUUACUGGGCGUAAAGCGCACGCAGGCGGUCUGUCAAGUCGGAUGUGAGAUCCCCGGGCUCAACCUGGGAACUGCAUUCGAAACUGGCAGGCUAUAGUCUUGUAGAGGGGGGUAGAAUUCCAGGUGUAGCGGUGAGAUGCGUAGAGAUCUGGAGGAAUACCGGUGGCGAAGGCGGCCCCCUGGACAAAGACUGACGCUCAGGUGCGAAAGCGUGGGGAGCAAACAGG
rnacentral:rRNA from 1 species